rnacentral:rRNA from 1 species
GUAGGGAAUAUUGCACAAUGGAGGAAACUCUGAUGCAGCGACGCCGCGUGAGUGAUGAAGGCCUUCGGGUCGUAAAGCUCUGUCGCAGGGGAAUAACACAAUGAAGGUACCCUGUAAGAAAGGAUCGGCUAACUUCGUGCCAGCAGCCGCGGUAAGACGAGGGAUCCUAGCGUUGUUCGGAAUCAUUGGGCGUAAAGCGGAUGUAGGUGGCUAUGUAAGUCAGAUGUGAAAGCCUGGGGCUCAACCCCAGAAGUGCAUUUGAUACUGCGUAGCUUGAGUGUCGGAGAGGUUACUAGAAUUGUUGGUGUAGUGGUGAAAUACGUAGAUAUCAACAGGAAUACCGGAGGCGAAGGCGGGUAACUGGCCGAACACUGACACUGAGAUCCGAAAGCGUGGGGAUCAAACAGGAUUAGAUACCCUUGUAGUCC